rnacentral:rRNA from 1 species
UACGGGGGGUGCAAGCGUUGUCCGGAAUGAUUGGGCGUAAAGCAUCUGUAGGUGGUUCUUAAAGUCGACUGUUAAAGCCCAGGGCUUAACUUUGGAUAAGCGGUCGAGUACUAAAGGACUUGAGUUUGGUAGGGGUAGAGGGAAUUCCUAGUGGAGCGGUGAAAUGCACAGAGAUUAGGAAGAACACCGAGGGCGAAAGCACUCUACUGGGCCAUAACUGACACUGAGAGAUGAAAGUUGGGGGAGCGAA